GGGGGCGGUUCGCCGCCCCCGACGUCGCGAGAAGUCCAUUGAACCUUAUCAUUUAGAGGAAGGAGAAGUCGUAACAAGACUUCCGUAGGUGAACCUGCGGAAGGAUCAUUG
rnacentral:ncRNA from 1 species